GAUGAACGCUGGCGGCGUGGAUAAGGCAUGCAAGUCGAGUGCAUUUAGGUGCACGGCAGACGGGAGAGUAACACAUUGGUAAUUUGCCCCUAAGUGGAGAAUAACCCUGUGAAAGCGGGAAUAAUACUCCAUGUGUUGUUGGAACAUAAGUUUUAACAGUAAAGAUUUAUCGCUUAGGGAGAGGCCUAUGUACUAUCAGCUUGUUGGUGAGGUAAGAGCUCACCAAGGCAAUGACGGUUACCGGGUGUUGGAGCAUGACCCGGCUCAAUGGGACUGAGACACUGCCCAU
rnacentral:rRNA from 1 species